rnacentral:rRNA from 1 species
CAAUAGCGUAUAUUUAAGUUGUUGCAGUUAAAAAGCUCGUAGUUGGAUUUCGGAUGGGACUUGCCGGUCCGUCGUUUCGAUGUGCACUGGCCAGUCCUAUCUUGUUGUCGGGGACUAGCUCCUGGGCUUCACUGUCCGGGACUAGGAGCUGACGAGGUUACUUUGAGUAAAUUAGAGUGUUCAAAGCAAGCCUACGCUCUGAAUACAUUAGCAUGGAAUAACACGAUAGGACUCUGGCUUGUCUUGUUGGUCUGUGAGACCAGAGUAAUGAUUAAGAGGGACAGUCGGGGGCAUUCGUAUUUCAUUGUCAGAGGUGAAAUUCUUGGAUUUAUGAAAGACGAACUUCUGCGAAAGCAUUUGUCAAGGAUGUUUNCAUUAA